rnacentral:lncRNA from 1 species
AUCUUGAACUCCUAUCAGCCGUUAUGCCUGCCCCUUCCUGUAUGUAAACAGCUUUGUACAGAAAGACAAAAAUCUUGGUGGGAUGCGGUUUGUACUCUGAUUCACAGAAAAGCACUACCUGGAAACAUAGCAAAAUUGAGACUUCUAGUUCAGCAUGGAAUAAACACUCUAAGAGCCCAGGAAAAACAUGGCCUUCAGCCUGCUCUGCUUGUACAUUGGGCAAAAUGCCUUCAGAAAAUGGGCAGCGGUCUUAAUUUUUAUGAUCAACAAGAAUACAUAGGGAGAAGUGUUCAUUAUUGGAAGAAAGUUUUGCCAUUGUUGAAGAUAAUAAAGAAGAACAGUAUUCCUGAACCUAUUGAUCCUCUGUUUAAACAUUUUCAUAGUGUAGACAUUCAGGUAACAGAGUUCCUUUAUGAAUUUAUUGGAGAUGGGAAUUUCCAGUUUAUAAACAAAGAAGUGGAGCUAUAAACUGCUUAAAUUAAUUGCCUUGUUAUUUAACGGUAAUCUUGUUUUGUAAAUUCACUAGCUCUCACGGAUAAGAUAUGACAGAGAAGAAUAAUGAGAUGUUUGUCUCUUAAGAUCAUAUAAAAUCUUUGGAAAAUCAUUUGGGUUUUAUAUUCUGAGUAUAAACAAUUUGACUAAAAACUAUUCUGUGUGUUUAGGCAUCAGAAAUUGUUGAAUGUGAAGAAGACGCACACAUAACUUUUGCUGUAUUGGAUGCAGUAAAUGGAAAUAUAGAAGAUGCUGUGACUGCUUUUGAAUCUAUACAAAGUGUUGUUUCUUAUUGGAAUCUUGCACUGGUAAGUAGAUGCGGUACUUGAGCUAAAAGUUUUGUUUAUUUAUUUAUUAUUUCUUUUAAAAGACGGGGUUUCUCUGUUGGCCGGGCUAGAGUGCAGUGGCACAAUCUUGGCUCACUGCAACCUCUGCUUCCCAGGCUCAAGCGAUUCUUGUGCCUCAGCUCCCGAGUUGCUGGGAUUACAGGCAUGAGCCACCAUGCGUGGCCAAGCUGAAAGUUUUUUGUUUUAAAAAGCUAAUGAUUUCAUAAAAGCACUAUUUGUAUAGAUUUUUCACAGGAAGGCAGAAGACAUUGCAAAUGAUGCCCUUUCUCCUGAAGAACAAGAAGAAUGCAGAAAUUAUCUGACAAAGACCAGGGACUACCUAAUAAAGAUUAUAGAUGACAGUGAUUCAAAUCUUUCAGUGGUGAAGAAAGUAAGUAGCAGGUUGUUGUAUGUAUGUUCUUACUGAUAACCCACUGGUCAGUGUUUUUGCGUUGGUCUUAUAUUUUGGUAAUUUCAAAAAUACUCAGUAAUAUGUUGUUAUUAAUGCACAGAAGGGAUGUGUGUGUCUAAAUGCUUAUAUUUGCUUGCUUUGUCUUAGGUUUGGUGUGUCUUUUUAAACUUGGGAAUCUAGGUAUAUGCUCUUAAAAAGUACUUCUUGGGGAAUUAGAAAAGAUUUCUAAGAUAAGACAUUGAUUUUGUUAUCUUAGCAGUUUAAUCAAAACAAAUAUUAUAACCUCAGGACUAAUUCUUAAUGAACUUUGCUGAAAUUGAAAGUUGUUGCUGACAACUUAAGAGCUUUUCUUCUCAUCCUCAUCAGCCAUUAUGAACGCCCUUGUUUUCUUGCUGUCAGCUGUUUGAGAUUGUCAUGAUGAUGUUAAAUUAUGUUCAGUCUUCUGAGUGUUUUGUUGAUUAAUUUGUGUUACUACUCUUUUAUUAGGAUUUAUGUUGUCUGGUGUAUUGUAGCAUCUGUAUUUCUGUCACCAUUGAAAAUCAGUUAGAAAACAUCAGUAACUUAUUUUGUUCACUUGGAAAAGCUUUCCAAGUUAACAUUCCUCUACAAUUAUCAUGGUUAACAGAAGUAAUAGAAAGAGCAUGGACUUUAGAAUCAGAAGAUGUUAGAUUGUACAACACUUUUCUGUGUUCAUGAAGAAAAAAAUAGAAUAAAGACAAAAAAAUAAAAAUAAUAAUACAAAACAACAGAAAAACAAAGAAAAAAGAUAAUUAAAAAACACCUUCACGUGUAUUAUUAUUUAAGUAAACAGGAAAGAAUGGAAUCAUUUCAUUGUGAAAUUGUUUCUAAGUGUUUUAAAUGCUCUUUUGUUAUUUUUAUUUUUUUUUUUAGUAUUCUCCCAAAAUACCACGUCGAUGGACAGAAGAUCAGAUUUCUUUACUGAAAAUGAUUGGCCAACAAGUAGAGGCCAUUAAGGUAAGUCACUUAAUUUCUCUAGCUGUACUUUUUAUUCCAAGAUUCCUUCCCUGGCCACUCUCUCACUUUUUUUCUGAAGCUGGUCAGAAUGUCCCCUUGCCAUCCAAAUAGUAUGGCAAGGGGACAUUUUGGUCUUUUUUUUUUUUUUAAGGCAGGGUCUUGUUGUGCAAGCUGGAGUACAGUGGUAUGAUCACAGCUUACUGCGGCUUUGACCUCCUAGCUCAAGAGAGGCUCUUGGCUCAGCCUGCCACGAAGCCAGGACUACAGACAGUCACACGCCACUAGGCCCAGCUAAUUGUAUUUUUUGUAGAGAUGGGAUUUUGCCAUGUUGCCCAGGGUGGCCUUGAACUCCUGGCUCAAACAAUCAUCCUGCUUCAGCCUCCCAAAGUGCUGGGAUUGCAGGUGUGAGCCACUGUGCCCAGCCUACAUACCUUGGUCUUGACCCUUUACCAUAUUUUGUUUUGUUUUGUUUUGAGAUGGAGUCUCACUCUGUUGCCCAGUCUGGAGUGCAAUGAUGUGAUCUUGGCUCACUGCAACCUCCACCUC